GGGGACCCCAACGAGGGGAGGGAAUCAGCCCGAGGCAUAAAUCCAGCCUGGGAAAAUCCAUCCAGUUUAGCAGCAAUGGGAGCAAGGAGAGAUUCUUGUCCUAGAGAUGAACGGCAACGAUAGGUGGCAAUCCCAGGUCUGCAAGAGGCGAGGAGGCGUGUGCGCAUACGUGUUAUUUAUUGCCUCCUACCGGGUAUGUUCAAAACUGCUGAACACACUUUUUGGCGUGGACCCGAACUGACUCAUCCUUUAGAGAGCAGCUCGUCGCGAGAUGAUGCUUUGGGGGCUCUUCCAAUUCCCGCAGAACACUCGUGUCGGAGUCCAGCGGCGGAUCCCUGGGAUGGCAGGAGCCAUGGGGGGCGUGGUGGAUGUUGGAAAAAGGAUGGUGGGGGUGGCCAGCCUGGAAUAGCCAUUCCUAAUUCCAGGCUUGAACCAGAAAAGGCAUCACGGGAGAUACUGGGGAAGAAAAUGGCUUUCCAUGGUGAUGCCACCUGAAGGCCUGGUCCCUGCCAGGCUUCUGCUCCUCCAGCUGAUGUGUCAAAACCCCAAAGAAAUAUAUUUUCUAAAUGGGCUAUUUGCUUUCCUUUACCAUUCACCAUAAACACAGCUUUUUGUCUCAUAGCAAAGAUGCACUUUUGCUUUUAUAAGCCCGUCUUAAGCACUACUUCUUACAUCAAUGGCUUUAAAUGAAAAAAGAAAGCUCUUUUGAAUACAAAUGUGGCAUUUACUUCCUUAAUGCCUCUCUUGCGCUAAGCUACCUUCAAACCCAUCAGAGACACUUUAAUAUAUUGAACAGAACUCCCCUCAUUUUGAUGCUAAUGCAGCAUUUCAUGCAGAUAAUGUGCUUGAAUCAUGCGCUGAAAUACAUUAAAGGUGAAAUCUAGAGCUUCAAGGAACUGCUGGUGGCUCAGCUCUCUCCUCCUUCUCCAUUUGCAUCUGCAAGCCAGGUCUUGCCAAGCUCUUUGGCAGGUCCAAGGCCAAGCUUGUCUUCUAUAGCUUUGUUUAUGUCUUUUAAUUUAAUUAAAAAGCCUAAAUCACCUCAUUUUUUCAUGCCAUUUCAUUGUAAUGGGACCCUCACUCAUGGGACUCCAUGCUACAGGAUGCUCUGGAGGGCAAAAUGAGCUUCACCAGCUCAAGGAGAAGAGGUUUUGAGGGGUUUUUAAGCAUCAUCAUCUGGGUACAGCCUCCAGCACCCCUGUGCCAGGAGAUGCUCAAAGCUAGAAAUCAAUUUUUAAGCAGGAAAAGCAUCUCCAUGUUCUUGGUUUACUGCUUUCAAUCCUCCUCCUCUCCUCUUGGCAUCUUUUGGAGCAGAAAUUGCUGACUCUACCUGGAUGUUUUAUAAUGUUCCUG
rnacentral:lncRNA from 1 species